CCUGCAUGGUGGCACAUGCUUGUAAUUUUGCAAACAAGGAGGUGAGGCUGGUGGAUCUCUUGUGCUCAAGAGUUCUAUGCCACAGUGCUCUAAGCUACUGCCACACAGUUUGGCAUCAAUGUAGUAAGCACCAGGAGUCUGGAGCUCCCAGGUUGCCUAAAGAGGGGGGAAAUGGUCCAGAUCAGAAAUGCAGCAGGUCAAAGCUUCAGUGCCAAUCAGUAGUGGAAUUAGGCUUGUAAGUAGCCCCUGUACUUCAAGUCUGGGCAAGGUUGAGAGACUUUUU
rnacentral:SRP_RNA from 1 species